CUCCAACACCUUCAUCAUUGUGCCACAACAUCCUUUGGGGAAGAUGUGAUGAGAGGAUACAACACAACCUGGUUAUUUCCAUUCAAAGGGGCUCCAGGGACGGUUGACAGAGUUCCAGACGAGGCCUCCAGAGAUCAUGGUCAACCUACCCCCAGCUGCAGCACCACAGUGGAGGAGAAAGGCAAAGGAGAGGGACAACGACGGCUAGCCCCCCUCUCCCAUCUCCCAAGGCGAGGUCUCCGACACCUGGAGAAGUUCACGGAGAGCCUGGCUCAGAUGGAGAAAAGGAACCUGCAGCUGCAGCAGGAAAACAUGGUGCUGCAGCAGAGAGUCAUGGAGCUGGAGACCCAAGUCUCCAGCCUUCACCGGGCAAGGAACACGCAAUCCCUCUGGGGAAGAUUGAAGAGGCAGUAUAGAAUGAGAAGGGGGUCUGUAAGGCCUCAAGAAACCAUCCAAAUCACAGUGACCAGUAACACCAGUAGGGACACCACAUCCCAAAGGCGGCACUGAUGAUAUAACUCUGUAACUAAGGCCUGCUCUCCGGAUUCCGACACUUAACCCCAUUUAGAUCAUGAGUCUCAAGCCAAACGUCCAAAACUUCAAAGGAUUUAUUGGGAGUUAACAUGUCUGGCACUGCCUGGGUGUAGCCGACUCUGUCAUUGUCACCCUUGACCCUGGUUUUCCCCCACUGUGGCAGAAACUUCAGUCACCUAGAAACCAUCUUUGAAACAUUUAUGGAAUGCAAGCUGCCCACUGCGUC